rnacentral:lncRNA from 10 species
CACAGCCACUUUUUUCCUUUUUUUCUCACUCCAUCGUAUGUGUGUGUGGUGGGGCAGGGGAUAAGGGGAAUAAUCUCUCUCCAGUAUAAGAAGGAGAUAGAAGUUCAUGAAGCAGAAGCACAACAGGUGGUGGUUUGUCCUUUAAGCAAGUACUCAAUAAUUAAGGCUGAUCUCUUUGACUCUUCACUGGGAGCAGAAAAAGAAAGAGAGAUGCUGAAGAUGGAAGAAUGGACACAAUAGAAUUUGCUAUCCCUUCGUAUGUCUUGAGAUCUAGUACAAAGAUUCUGGGACAAGAAUAUUCGUGCUUUGUUUAGGGAACAGCAAGAGAAGUCACAGUUACUGGAGCAGAGUGACAGAUAAAGGGAGAGUUUUGCAGUUUUUUAUGAAGUUGAACAUACACAUAUCCUAAGAGCCAGUUAUUUCGAUCUUCUUUAUCAAAGGGAAAUAAAAACAUAUUUCUUC